CAGUCGCCGCGGGAAUACGUAGGGGGCAAGCGUUAUCCGGAAUUACUGGGUGUAAAGGGAGCGUAGACGGUUAAACAAGUCUGAAGUGAAAUGCCGGGGCUCAACCCCGGAGCUGCUUUGGGAACUGUAGAACUGGAGUGUCGGAGGGGUAAGCGGAAUUCCCAGUGUAGCGGUGAAAUGCGUAGAUAUUGGGAGGAACACCGGCGGCGAAGGCGGCUUACUGGACGACAACUGACGUUGAGGCUCGAAGGCGUGGGUAGCAAACAGGAUUAGAUACCCGUGUAGUCCCUGUCUCUUAUAC
rnacentral:rRNA from 1 species